GACGAACGCUGGCGGCGUGCCUAAUACAUGCAAGUAGAACGCUGAAGAGAGGAGCUUGCUCUUCUUGGAUGAGUUGCGCACGGGUGAGUAACGCGUAGGUAACCUGCCUUGUAGCGGGGGAUAACUAUUGGAAACGAUAGCUAAUACCGCAUAACAAUGGAUGACACAUGUCAUUUAUUUGAAAGGGGCAAUUGCUCCACUACAAGAUGGACCUGCGUUGUAUUAGCUAGUAGGUGAGGUAAUGGCUCACCUAGGCGACGAUACAUAGCCGACCUGAGAGGGUGAUCGGCCACACUGGGACGGAGACACGGCCCAGACGCCUACGGGAGGCAGCAGUAGGGAAUCUUCGGCAAUGGGGGCAACCCUGACCGAGCAACGCCGCGUGAGUGAAGAAGGUUUUCGGAUCGUAAAGCUCUGUUGUAAGUCAAGAACGGGUGUGAGAGUGGAAAGUUCACACUGUGACGGUAGCUUACCAGAAAGGGACGGCUAACUACGUG
rnacentral:rRNA from 1 species